UCGAAUAAACUUGAACAGGUUGUUGCUGGCUCAAGGGCAAUGUGCACGCUUGUCAUCUUUAUCUCUCCAACUGUGCACGUAUUGUAGACACAAAUUGAUUCACUCGAGUUGGGACUGCUGUGCUUUCAGAGUCGGCUUUCCCUUUAGGUCUAUAUAUCACACAAACACUUUAAAUGUUGAAUGAAAUGAAUUUAAAAAAAGUUGUAUA
rnacentral:misc_RNA from 1 species